UCUUCCACCUCCCACCGCGCCGCCGGACAUGUCCGUCCUGGACCGACGUGUCCAACGUCUCUAGCCACCUUACUCCGACGAAUCACGUCACGACACAUCAGCAUCGCCGCCCGCCCGAGCCAACCGCGGGGCGCCACGUCACCGCCGCCAGCACCCCACUUCGCCGCCGCCGCCCGGGGCCCAGAUCCGGCCCGCCCCGGGGCCGAAUCGGACCGCACCGGGCCCGCGCUCCGCCGCCCGACCUCACGAGCGCCUCCACCGCGCUGCCCCUCGAACCCUGCUGCCUCGCCACCAUCGGCGAGCACCGCGCCGGAGCGCCGCCGUCCCGGAAGCACGCCGCUGCCCCGAUCCGCUCCCGACGCUGUUUGGAGCUCCUCCGAGGACAGAUCCGGCACCCUCUCCUCUGGAUCCGUCCGUUCCCGCCGAUCCCUACCGUGCCCGCAUCGCCGGAGACCCUCCCCUGCCGUCGUUGACCGCCACGGCCUCCUGCCUCCUGCAGUCGAAGGAAGGAGACGACGAGGGGAGCGUCGCCCCUAGGCCCGACCGCGUCCAAGCCCAUCUCCACCGGCCCAGCCUCGUCCUGCCUCUUCCCUCCUCAUGGGCUGAAGCCCAUGGUGUUGUUUCUUCGGGUUGGUUCCGAUAACGUCGCGUUGUGAGGAACCGUUCGACUACAACCGUUUGACUUCUUCAUGGACUUGUUCUUCUUCCUUGCGGGAUUUCAG